CUCUCUUCCUUCCCUCUUUCCGUCCGUCUUUCGACUCUGUUCCGGCCCCGCCUCACCCGCCGUCCGGCGCUGGCCGCAGCCGCAGGCUCCGCCAGGCUUAGGCCGCAGAGCCCCGCGUGUGCACCGCGCGGUGCCGGGUGUCUCCGGCCUGCUGGAUGCGGGGCUCCCGGGCCGCGAGUCAGACCCGCCUUGGGGACCGUCCUGGGGGCUCGACCCCCACCCCCAGCCCGGGGGAAGCGCCCACCCUCGGCCUCCCCCGCUCGCCCUGGCCGCUCGCUUCCCGGAAGCCGGCUGUCACUCGGCUUUUCAGUCUCUGAAGACCGUAAGCCCCGUGAACACCUCGGGCCGCUUCAGGGGGGCAGAACCGACUCCCGGGGCACGUGUGUCCUCGUGCAUUUCCACUCUGUGGGGUUGGGGUGGUGCUUUCCCUUUUGCUCAGGGAUUUCGCUCACAACUUUGCUUUAGUAACUUUGGAAGCCAGCCCGCCCCUCCCCCUGUCGUGUAUGUGGUUGCAUUUAAUGAGCUGCAAGUGGAAGAUGGCCAGGCAAGUGGCCAGACUGUGGUCUUUUUUGACUUUGUUGACUUAAAAAAAGAAAGAAAGAAAGAAGCAGGGAUCUUGAAAGAGGUUAACCGUCUUUAGCAAAUCAUUUACAUGGCCAACGAAGAAGGGAGGGGAACUUCCAUAUGGAAUGUGCAGUGUUGCUGUGUGGGGGCGGACGCGUUGGAAGCGGACAUUCUGGGGGCGGGUGGCGGUGCACCUGCUGGGCGCACCUGUUAGGAUGAGCAAGGACCCGGGUUCAAGCGUGCAGGGGGAAAGCCAUUUUCCCCUCUCUUUUAUUUUGAUAGGACAGAGAGAAUGAGGGGGCCGGGCAGUGGUACACUUGGUUGAGUGAGUGCACAUGUUACAGUGCACAAGGACCCAGGUUUGAGCCCCUGCUCCCCACCUGAAGGGGGAAAGCUUUGAGAGUGGUGAAGCAGGGCUGCCGGUGUCUCUGUCUCCUCGGUCUCCCCCUUCCCUCUCGAUUUCUGACUGUCUCUAUGCGAUAAAGAUAACUUAAAAAUUAAAAAAAAAAACUGGGAGAAGUCGACAUUCUGAACCAGGAUUUUCGCCACCGUGGGUGUGCGUGUCAGUGCCUCAGAAUGAGGGUUUGAAGUCUUGGGGCCGGGGAGACAGCAUGAUGGUUAUGCAGACUCACAGGCCUGUGACAUGUGUUUUGUGGGAUGCACCAUCACCUGACCCCUUUUCCAGUACUUUUAAAGCAACUAAAAUAGCAUUCCAAACUUAGCCUUUUUAUUUAUAGUGACAGAAAUUGAGAAGGGAGGGGAGAGGGAGAGAGAGACCUUUAGCACUGCUUUACCACUCAUGAACCUUUCACGCAGUCCCUUCCCAGUAGGGACUGAGGGCUUGAACCCAGGUACUUAGACAUGGUAACAAGUGUGCUUAACAGGAAGUGCCACCACCCCACUCCCAAACUUACUCUUUAUAAGGUGCAUUUUAUAUAUAUUUAUUUGUUAUGAGGAUAGGAGAGAGAAAGAACCAGAUAUCACUCUGGUACAUGUCCUGCCAGGGGUUGAACUCAGGACCUUAUGCUUGAGAGUCUAAUGCUUUACCCACUGUGCCACCUCCUAGACCAUAGCGCUUCAAAAUCUUGAUAUAAAACUGUAAAUUGGGUGGGGGUAUAGCAUAAUGGUUAUGCAAAGAGACUUUCAUACCUGAGGCUCUCAAGUCCCAGAUUCAAUCCCCCACACUGCCAUAAGCCAGAGCUGAGCAGUGCUCUCGUAAAAACAAACAACAACAACAAGAAAAAGCCUGUAAAUUAAUUUUUGUCUGGAUUUGAACUGUAUAAAAAUGGAAUUAUACAAUCUAUAUUCUCUCUAGAUUCCUUUCAAGAGCAUAUAGUUUUAAUCUUGACAUUUAACUUUGAAAUAACAAAAAGUACUGUGUAGACUACUGUUUGGGGUGGAUUAUGGAAUAGUAGUUCUGUGACUAAAUUGCAGCUCUCUAUUGUUCUUGUAUUUAAAAUAGGGAAUUAUAAAGCUUAAAUGAGAUGAUGGGAGUUUAAGGUUUGCAAAUUGCAUGAUCUAGUAAGUGCUCUGUGAAUGCUAGUGUGUGUGUGUGUUUUAAAAUAUGUUUUAUGUGUCAUUUAUUUUUUAAAAUAUUUAUUCCCUUUUUGUUGCCCUUGUUUUAUUGUUGUAGUUAUUUUAUUGUUGUUAUUGAUGUCAUUGUUGGAUAGGACAGAGAGAAAUGGAGAGAGGAGAGAAGAUAGACACCUGCAGAUCUGCUUCACCACCUGUGAAGCGACUCCCCUGCAGGUGGGGAGCUGGGGGCUCGAACUGGGAUCCUUACUCUGGUCCUUGCACUUUGCACCACCCGCUGCGCUACGCCUGACUCCUGUGUGUGUGUGUGUGUGUGUGUGUGUGUGUGUGUGUGUGUGUGUGUUUAAAGGAGACAUUUGAACCAGUGUAUCGUUUUAGUGGAGAGCUGCACUUGAGGUUCUGGAAAUAAAAUGGGGGCUUUAUGCAUGUGAGUCCUGCAGUGUACUGCUGGCCCACUUACUUACUGCUGGCCCACUUCCCUGGCUGCUGUUGGGCUGUCAGAAAAGUCAUGAAGUACUUUAGCUAUGUAAAAAUGCAUAAUGACUGUGCCAACAACUCAAUAUUUUGUGUUGUUAAUAGGAUCAAUUCUGAUUAUAUCUACCUGUUACCUUUAUUAAUACUGGCCCUGCAUAAAAUAAAAAUAAACUUUUAAU